rnacentral:rRNA from 1 species
UCUAAGCCAUGCGAGUCAUUGUAGCAAUACAAGGCAGACGGCUCAGUAACGCGUAGUCAAUCUACCCUAUGGACGGGAAUAACCUCGGGAAACUGAGAAUAAUGCCCGAUAGAACAUUAUGCCUGGAAUGGUUUAUGUUUCAAACGAUUUAUCGCCAUAGGAUGGGACUGCGGCCUAUCAGUUUGUUGGUGAGGUAAUGGCCCACCAAGACUAUUACAGGUACGGGCUCUGAGAGGAGUAACCCGGAGAUGGGUACUGAGACACGGACCCAGGCCCUAUGGGGCGCAGCAGGCGAGAAAACUUUGCAAUGUGCGAAAGCACGACAAGGUUAAUCCGAGUGGUUUCUGCUAAAGAAACCUUUUGUCAGUCCUAGAAACACUAACGAAUAAGGGGUGGGCAAGUUCUGGUGUCAGCCGCCGCGGUAAAACCAGCACCUCAAGUGGUCAGGAUGAUUAUUGGGCCUAAAGCAUCCGUAGCUCGUUUUGUAAGUUUUCGGUUAAAUCCAUGCGCUUAACGUAUGGGCUGCCGGGAAUACUGCAUAACUAGGAAGUGGGAGAGGUAGACGGUACUCGGUAGGAAGGGGUAAAAUCCUUUGAUCUAUUGAUGACCACCUGUGGCGAAGGCGGUCUACCAGAACACGUUCGACGGUGAGGGAUGAAAGCUGGGGGAGCAAACCGGAUUAGAUACCCGGGUGGUCCCAGCUGUAAACUAUGCAAACUCAGUGAUGCAUUGGCUUGUGGCCAAUGCAGUGCUGCAGGGAAGCCGUUAAGUUUGCCGCCUGGGAAGUACGUACGCAAGUAUGAAACUUAAAGGAAUUGGCGGGGGAGCACCACAAGGGGUGAAGCCUGCGGUUCAAUUGGAGUCAACGCCAGAAAUCUUACCCGGAGAGACAGCAGAAUGAAGGUCAAGCUGAAGACUUUACCAGACAAGCUGAGAGGAGGUGCAUGGCC